rnacentral:rRNA from 1 species
UGGGGAAUAUUGCACAAUGGGGGAAACCCUGAUGCAGCGACGCCGCGUGAUUUAGAAGGCCUUCGGGUUGUAAAAAUCUUUUUUAUGGGAUGAAAAUGGCAGUACCAUAAGAAUAAGGUCCUGCUAAAUACGUGCCAGCAGCCGCGGUAAUACGUAUGGACCGAGCGUUGUCCGGAAUCAUUGGGCGUAAAGGGUACGUAGGCGGCCCAGUAAGUUAGAAGUGAAAUAAUAUAGCUCAACUAUAUAAAGCUUUUAAAACUGCUAGGCUUGAGAGAUGGAAGGGAAAGUGGAAUUCCUAGUGUAGCGGUGAAAUGCGCAGAUAUUAUGAAGAAUACCGGUGGCGAAGGCGACUUUCUGGUCAUCAUCUGACGCUGAGGUACGAAAGCGUGGGUAGCAAACAGG